AGAGUUUGAUCCUGGCUCAGAACGAACGCUGGCGGCGUGGCUAAGACAUGCAAGUCAAACGGGUUAUUUAAUUUAUUAGAUAACCAGUGGCGAAAGGGUGAGUAAUGAAUAGGUUACGUACCUUGUGCUUCGGGAUAGCGUCUGGAAGCUUGCUUCCUUCCGAAAGGGGCGGUAAUACCGGAUAAUAUCGUUAACUUAAUGUUAAUGAUCAAAGAUUUAUCGGCAUAAGAUCGGCCUAUUUCCCAUCAGCUUGUUGGUAGGGUAAUGGCCUACCAAGGCAUCGACGGGUAGCGGGACUGAGAGGUUGGCCCGCCACAUUGGGACUGAGACACUGCCCAGACCCCCACGGGGGGCUGCAGUAACGAAUAUUGGACAAUGGGCGAAAGCCUGAUCCAGCGACGCCGCGUGUAGGAAGAAGUCUCUCGGGAUGUAAACUACUGUCAGGGGUUAGAAAGUCUUCGGAUUGAUCAACCCCAGAGAAGCCACGCUAACU
rnacentral:rRNA from 1 species